UGCCAGCUUCUCUGGUCCACAGAUGUCUCAGGAUGCAGCCCCACCCUCCUUGGUCACAGCAGUGGGAUUUGCAAAUGAGCAGCACACCAGAGUUAUACCCAACCUUAAGGUGGACUUCAACAGAAGGUACCAAAGAAACCUGCAGACUUUGUAUAUUUACCCAGGGAUCACUUUUCUGGUGGUGAGAUGUAACCAGCUCUUUUGUGGAAUGGAGUAAUCACUGCCUGCCAGUAACACAACGCUACGAUGUGGAGAGAAGGAAAUGAAGGCUAGCUCAUCCAAAGGAAACUACAGGGGGAGUUUAGAUCGGCAGAAUGCAAUUACCCAAGUUGGAAUUCUUCCAAGACACCAAGCUAAUAACACACUGGAAAUGGGAUAACACAGCUGCAGAACAGAGCUCUGAAGUCCAGAAUCCUCCUGUCCCACUAGCUUGGUUAAAGGUUUCAGGAAAAACGAAGACUGAAGCUAACUGAAGUUUUAAUAGCCACAAAUGUCUCUCAGCGUUUCUCUCCCUCAGGAAGACAAUAUCAGAGUGCUGGCACCGAUCUCUUAAAAUUAUACUGGCAAAAGAUAAACAAAGCUCAAGAUAUAGAAAUAUAUUUUACACAGAAAAAAAGAAUAAAGAAAAACACACUGAAACCAAAUCCUCAUAUUUCUUGGCUCGCAGUAGCAGGCUGACUAGUUACCCAAAAUGAGCUUACUGCAGAAUCACUCUGUUCUCACCACAGGCACAAUUUACCAACUGGGUGCAGCAGACACCGGGCUGGCUCCUGAACUUCUCUCCUCCAAUUAAGCUGCACAACCUGUUACCAUUUUGCCAAUGGACUCUAUUUACUUAGGUUCUGCAUAACUUGCCAAGUGCUCACUCUGUGGAAUUCCCAGCAAAGAGAAAGGAACAAUUGGGGGGAAUUUUUGCUAACAUCCUUCCUUUCAACUUUCCACAGCAGAGGGGAAUGCAUCAACAUGGAGCAGAUGCGCUGAGACCAAAUGCUCUCUUCCUCAUGAUUACAGUUGGUUAUACCUGUGGAUAGGCAAGCUAAUUCUGCUGCAAAUGUGCAAGAGAGGGUAGUACUAACGUACAAUGUGUGGUCCUGGAGGCUUUGUUCUCACAUAAUAGGGUGCUUCGUUUCACAAGGCCUGGCACACAGAGAGCCAUACUGCAGCAAACAGCCCCUUGCUGUUGGAAUCGCGGUCUAUCUCUGUACCGCUCCGAGAAUGCCCUUGUUCUCAGCAAUGUUGACAUAAAUAUUGUGAAAUUUCUUAUCUGGAGUUGGAAAGUAAUGAUUCUUUCUACUUAAUGUGCUCAGUGACUCUGCACCCUAUUGUUUUCUGCCAUUUGAAAAUGCCCGGGGAUGUCAUUAUAACUACAUGUAUCAGUAUUAAACCUUCGCAAACAGUUGACUAAAUGAGCUGUUAUUAUCUUUGUUUCUGAAAAGAGUGUACCUUUUUACUUCAUUUAUCAGUAACUAGGUGUAGUCGAUUGCACUCUGGUAUUGAUCCCAAUAUCUAUACCCGUCACAGACUACCUUUCCUCAAGGUCAUCGUGAGGUCGUGUUAUGAUCAAUAUGAAUUGACUGUCUGCAAAUAAAUUUAUGUAGCUGACAUAAUUGCAAGUAAUACCUUUUUCAAAUUAAGGUGGACCAUUUUAUGAAGCAUAUGUGUUUGAAACACUAACAGUAACAUCAUCCAACUCUGCAUAAUGAACCAAUCUCGCUAGAAUUUACAAGUCCUCUUUGUGUAACUGAAAGCUGGGUAAGCUCCCUGAUGAUCAUUUCUAAAUAACACCUGCAGAGUUCCAAGCGUCAGGUUUAGUGAAGAUGCUAAUUAUGUUUUCCAAGCGGUAGUAUUUUCCUGUGUAGCCCCUAUGUGCAUUUUUAUUUCCAAAUUUCAAGUCUCAUUUCUAUCAGUUCGCUUUCAAAGUUCUGAGUAGAAUGUUUAGUCGCCCUAAUCAGAGCAACACAUUCGGUAAAACCAACUUCCUUGAGUAGAAAUAGGAUCACCAAAUGCAGAGCGGAUACCAGUGCCAUCGCCUUACCAUGGGCCCCUCGCGCUGCGGGGAGUUGUACUUGUGAUCAGCCUGCUAGCCACUGGAUGUCACUGACGCUUACAUAAAUGGAGCUUAAGGGGCAUUUAUCUGACUGUAAAAAUCAUGACUUCAGUAGAAAGCAGUUUAGCUAGAAACAUUUCACUCAGGCAAUUUCUAAUUUCAGAAAAAUAGGCUCAUAAAGCUCACAAAGGCGAUACCCAACUUCAAGCGUGAUUAGUUUCAGUUGUUUGUUUCAGCUUUAACUGGGAUAUGAAUAAACAGCAAGUUUUGGGGGUGCAUUCCAUUUUGACAGCAGCUGCCAUUCUGCUUUUAAAGGGAUACUACCCAAUCAGGUUUGUGACAUCGUGAAAAGCUUAUCAGCAAGUCCAAAUUACAAAACAGUGAUUUGGGAUAUCUUUUUAAUUCUGUAAUUAGUUUUUUAACGCAAGGCUCUGCAUUUAACUGUUUUGUGUAAAACAUACCCUUAUUCAAAAGGUAAAGGUUAUUUGAAACGUUUAAAAUGUACUUCUGUGGUGCAAAUGACUUAGAUUCAGAUUUUAAACAGGAAGUAGUACUUUGUAAAGCAUAAUUAAUGAUGGCAAGUGUCAGAAAAACACUAUUGAGCAUAUUGUAAAAUGGCUUCCACCAUUAAAUUCAUUCUCAAAUCAGAUUAUACCAGUGGAAUAUAAUUUUCCUUGACAAUUUCAUGAAUUCUUUUUCUAGGACAUAUCAGGGAAACCAAUCAGACCUAUCAGUAGAUGGUCUACAGUGUAAAUAUGAAAAGAUGCAAUAGAUUGGAAAGUUCUAGCAAAAUGAGGAUUUAUCUUUUGUCUUGAAUAUAGAUACAAAGCAAAUGUAGUAUGUGAGUGGCUUGGAGAAAAGGCACUAUAUAAGAGCAAAGAAUUAUGACAAAUGACAUCGCAACAGACAUGCUGCCAUCCCAGAGCUUGAGCCAUUUGAGAAGCUAUUUUGAAUUAAUAACGCAUGCCAUCGUGAUUACAUUUGCUUAGCAGAAACAUUUUAAGAAAUAACAGCCUGCAAAAGGAAACUGAAACAAUAGUUCUCUAUCCCCAUAUAAUAUAUAAUUACCAUUUUUCUUUGGAAAGAAAGGUUCAAAAUCCAUAGUAACUGUAGCCUAGAUUCUUGUUUUUAAGUGGCUAUAUAUUCACAUAUGCAGUACAAACAAUUUAAUAUUCCCCACCCAAAAAUAAAGUAUUAUGCUACUGGAAAUAUAAAUUCAGAAGAACUAGCUCACCCACUGGCAGCUCACAUUAUUAGAAUUAAAUUUUCUGGGGGUGGGGGUGGGGUGAGGCAACAUAACUGAAACUCAACCAGCUUUUUGCACAAGAGACCCAGUGAAGGAUAGCAUAGCAAUCACACCCCAUCCAUCUCCUCCUUCUCCCACCCCCCCAAAGCCAAAAUUAUGAAAAUUAAUUGUAUGUGCAUUGGGGCAAAGUGAUCUGUUGCCAAGUUGAUUCAAAACCAACACUCUCUACCCAAAUAAUGGAAGCCAAGCAAAUGUGUCAUAAAUUGCUCAUAGUUCAAGUAUCUGGAAACACCUGGAAUCCCACCUUUAGGCAGUUGAUGCUUGGCAAAAGGCACAAAGAUAACACUUCAAGCAGUUCCCUCACUGUCUGUUAAACCAUGUUUCCACCUUAAAUAAAUUAAAGCAUGCAGCAGCAGUAGGUAAGGUGGUCAAUGCAAUUAAAUUCAAAACCUGAAUGUAUUGAACUUUCUGCAAUUAUACAUGGGUCAUCUCUGGACAAUAUGUUGGCCAUCUGGUAGCAUCUGUGCUGUUCCCUCUAAUAGAGUUCCUGCUGUGGCUCGAGGCCAUGACAGGCAGCACUAAGCAGGUCACAUGUUGUGUCUUUCAGCCAUAUUUAGGUCACAAUUUGGGGUGGGAGGAGGCAAGAAUUA